UAUAUCUUCUUCUAAUAAAUCAAUUUACAGUGCCACAGUUAAAACAGAUGCAAAUUGAUGUAUUGCUCGAAUUUCAAUCCUGCACUUUAUCUAUGUUGCUUGCUCUGAACUCUGUAAAAGGUACAUUGCACAUGCUGUUCACCUCUUUCUGUACUUUGUUGGUUCUUCUUAACAUUUGUGUUUUUCCUAUAAGAUGACGAAGAGUAAUCCAGACAAAGUUCCACGAACGACUACGCAUCGUUCCCCAUUUACAGACAUAACGAACUCGUCUACCAUUGAUAACGCAAAUGUCACUACUAAUAGUCAACAAUUAGUUCAAUAAAAUUGCUUGGUUAUUGGCACGGUGGUUGCAUCACAGCUGCGAAAUCUCCACUGGCGUAGGAUACAAAGAUAAGACGCUGGCAAGUGGCUGUACAGCUUAUUCUUGUUUACUUGUCUCAGACACAGAUGUAUAUCGCUGUUAAAGGCUGUGACGACGUGCCGUGCUGAUUGAUCAUUAGUUGGACGGGCCUGCUGGGGCUGAACAUUUGACUUUUGACCAGAACAAGUGAUCAGAAGCGCUUCCCCAGUUGGCAUCAUCCUGCAGACAGCGUUUAGGAUGAGCAUCAUCUUAGUGGCGCGCCGUUGUGGGAGGCGCAUGCACUGUGGUGGGCCGAGGUGUGUACUACGUGGGAGACGCGAGGAAAAUGCUCAAUUCCUAUUUUGAUUGAGACGUUCAGUGAGAAUUUAGCACCGACAUAAUGAGAGAGGAAUUCAGCCCUGAAGAAAGCACUGGCAAAUGAACCGGCAUAUAUUUCAUCACUUGGUUCUUCUAUCUAUGAAGUAGUGUGAACCUGCAUGCCAAGUUUCUUCUGCAUGAGGCAGAUAUGCUAUAUUGCUAUUUGAGAUGUGAUUCUCCUGUCCUUAGAAGCAUGUUCUUUGUCCUAAUUUUCUGUAUGCUCUCUGUUCUUCAGAGAUUAUACUUAAAACAGUCUUGAUUAGAACGAUAAUAAUAAGUUAUCCUUGGAAAUCUGCUGAUCGACAAAAUGUAGUUUUCAGUAGCAUGCCUGUUGAUUACUAAUUGCUACGGCAUUUUAUUUUCUGAUACAUCUAAAGCGUCCAAUGUGAUUUGCUUCACUGCAGAGUAAUAUGGAUGAAGAACUGAGAGCAGCGUUUGGUCAAAAGAUUCAGGUAGGAAACUGGUUUUCGCAAAUGCCCAAAUCGUGGUAAAGGCAGUAAAGGUAAGUUUAGAGUCUUUCGGUUACAUGCAGAAUAAAGACUAUAUUUAUGGUGAGUGAUGCGGGAAUUAUUAUGAAGGUGAUACAGAUUCAGUCAUAACCUUUGAUUGGCUACAAUUUAUGUCGAAGAUACAAUGCAGAAGCAUGAUAUGAAUGUGUGCCAACUCAACAAAACUAAAUGUUGCUCUAUGAAUCAUUGUUUAAAGUGAUUCAGUAUCAGUUCAUAUCUUAAGAUCAUUGCACCAUCAAGCAUCUUCCUCGUAGCAUGGGCUGUGGCCAUUUUCUAUAGAAAAAUUAUAGUAACCAUGCAUUUAUGUUUCUGUAGUUUGAUUUUAGCAUUUGUUUCAAUGAAUUUGAAGGUACUGGCACAGCGGAGUUAUUGUGGUAUAUGCCAGCAUGUUUGACGCUGUCACAUGAGCUGUUGAUAACUCGAUAUGCUAUGAGUUGUCCUUCUGAUGAAGAACUUUUUACUUACAUCUCAAUUUUCAUUGUGUCUGGAGGAUAAAUACUAAUACUAUCUCCUUUGAUCUUUUGGCUGUCCCUCGGGCCAUGAAUGUUCCUACUGGGGUGAAGGAGAACAUUCAGCUCAUGAGGGGGCUUCACAUGGUCGCCGAUAUCCAAUGCCUUGAUUGUCGUGAGGCGCUCGUGUGGAAGUGCAAGAUGGACUACGAGGAAUCACAGAAGUACAAGGAAUGGAAGUUCAUAUUUGAGAAGGCAAAUAUUGUACAUGAGAAUUGGUAGUAAAUAAAAAAGUCAACAAUGUGCCAAAAUGCUAUUAUGGAGAUGUGAAUUGUGAUCCCUGCCUUUGUACAUAGCAGUCACCUGUAAGUACCAAUUUGUUGGUCGCACCAUCUUAUUUUGCGCCAUAAUUUACACUUUUUUUUCUGUGGAGAGACAAAUUUUGUUAAUUUGUCUCGGAACCAUUUUUUGUUCAUAGCUGGUUGGCUUAAGAAUGUUUGAUCUUUUUGUUAAA